GCCUUUACCCCACGCACCCCCCGGGACACGGAACCCAGUCGCCCUCGCCACUGACACCUGGCCCAAAGGGAUUCUACUGACCCACAUGUCAUUCUAGUGGGUCCUUAGGACGUGUCUUUGAAGCGAUCAGGCUCCCUUGCGCUCUACGGGUGGGACAGCAGAGGGGACACGUCGCCGGGGACACUGCCCUACCUUAUACUGC
rnacentral:lncRNA from 1 species